rnacentral:rRNA from 1 species
AACGUAGGAGACAAACGUUAUCCGGAGUUACUGGGCGUAAAGGGCGUGUAGGUGGUAAUGUAAGUCUGGCGUGAAAUUUUUCGGCUUAACCGGGAAAGGUCGUCGGAUACUGCAUCACUAGAGGACGGUAGAGGCAGAUGGAAUUCCCGGUGUAGCGGUGGAAUGCGUAGAGAGUCGGGAAGAACAUCGGUGGCGAAGGCGGCCAUCUGGACCAGCACUGACACUGAGGCACGAAAGCGUGGGGAGCAAACAGG